rnacentral:rRNA from 1 species
UACGGGGGGGGCAAGCGUUGUUCGGAAUUACUGGGCGUAAAGGGCUCGUAGGCGGCCAACUAAGUCAGACGUGAAAUCCCUCGGCUUAACCGGGGAACUGCGUCUGAUACUGGAUGGCUAGAGUUUGGGAGAGGGAUGCGGAAUUCCAGGUGUAGCGGUGAAAUGCGUAGAUAUCUGGAGGAACACCGGUGGCGAAGGCGGCAUCCUGGACCAUCACUGACGCUGAGGAGCGAAAGCCAGGGGAGCAAACGGG